GAUGAACGCUGGCGGCGUGCUUAAUACAUGCAAGUCGAGCGAACAGACGAGGAUUUUGCUGCGCGGACGAUAGCGGCGGACGGGAGAGUAACACGUGGAUAAUCUACUUAUAAGACGGGGAUAACUUCGGGAAACCGGAGAUAAUAGCGGAUAAGAUACUGAACCGCAUGGGUCGAUAGUGAAAGACGGUGUUGGGGGCACGUCUAGAUGGAUCCGCGCCGCAUUAGCUGGUUGGGAGGGUAACGGCCUAUCAAGGCAAGGAGGCGUAUCCGACCUGAGAGGGUGGUCGGCGACCCUGGAAGUUGACCGCGGUCCUGACUCCUACGGGAGGCAGCAGUCGGGAACCUUCGGCAGUGGGCGGGAGCCUUGCACAGCGGCGGGGCGUGAGUGACGAAGGUCUUCGGAUCGUAAAGCUCUCUUAUGAGGGAUGAACCGCUUUGUCCGUAAACGUAGCCGUCUUGACGGUAACUGGUCAAGAAGCCACGGCUAACUACGUG
rnacentral:rRNA from 1 species